rnacentral:lncRNA from 1 species
UCCUCUUCCAUUUCAUUUUAGCAUAGCAUGGUCCUUCUCAUCGAUUAGAGCUCGUCUCAAUUUUCUUUUCUGAAAACUCCUGCAUUAGGAGUUUCCUUGUGGCUCAGCAAGUUAAGGAUCUGGCAUUGUCAGCGCUGUGGCCCAGGACGCUGCUGUGGCACAACUUUGAUCCCUAGCCCAGGAACUUGCAUGUGCUGGGGGUACAGCCAAAAAAUAAAAUAAAAAACCUUUAUUAAAAAGACUUUAUCUAAAAUGAUCACAUUUGUUUGUUCACAUGUGUUAUUGAGAACCUAAGCAUAGUCUGUCCUCACUGAUAUUAUGAAGUAGAUAAAAACAUACACUGGAGGGAGUUUCUGUUGUUGUGCAGUGGAAAUGAAUCUGACUGGUAACCAUGAGGUUGCAGGUUCGAUCUCUGGCCUAACAUUGCCGUGAGCUGCGGUGUAGGUCGAAGAUGCAGCUGAGAUCCUGUGUUGCUGUGGCUGUGAUAUAGGCCAGAAGCUGUAGCUCCGAUUCAACCCCUAGCCUGGGAACUUCCAUGUGCCACAGGUGAGGCCCUAAAAAGCAAGAAACAAAAAACAAACAAAAAAAACCAUCUGAAUUUUGAAGACUUGGUAUGAAGAAAAGGAUAUAAAAUGCCUCAUUAAUAAAAUGCUUUGCAUAUCUUGAGUUAAAUACAACAAAUUAUUAAAAUUAAUUCAUCCAUUUCCUUUUACUUUUUGUAGUGUAGAUGGCUACUCCAAAAAUAAAACUAUGGAGUCCUGGCCUGGCUCAGCGGAAACGAAACUGUUAAAUUUUUUUUUUUUUUUUUGGUCUUUUUACCUUUUCUAGGACCGAUCCUGUGGCAUAUGGAGGGAAGAGGGAGGGACCCCUGAGACAGCAGGGAAGCCCUCAGGGUUGGCUGUAAACCUUUUCAGAAGAAAGCAAUGCUCUGGAAUGUCCUUUGAGCCUUGCGUGGUUGUGGCAAAGGGAUAGUCCAUUUUUUUUUCCUUAUGAUAGAUGAGGACGGCACCCCUCUGGAGGGUCCAGGUCGCAUGAACUAUUUUGACUGAAAUAGCUAAAUAAAGAUGCUAACAAAUAGGGAGCUAUCUAGACCAAUAACUCUCAGGCAAUGGUUUGCCAACCGUGAGCACUGGUGGGCUCUUUGUCACUGUGCGCACCUUAGGGUAGGGUAGGGGUU